rnacentral:piRNA from 1 species
UGUAUUCUAAAUUCUUGCUUACACACUUGGA